UACAGAGGGGGCAAGCGUUGUUCGGAAUUACUGGGCGUAAAGGGCGCGUAGGCGGCCUUCUAAGUCAUGCGUGAAAUCCCCGGGCUCAACCCGGGAACUGCGUCUGAUACUGGAAGGCUUGAAUCCGGGAGAGGGAUGCGGAAUUCCAGGUGUAGCGGUGAAAUGCGUAGAUAUCUGGAGGAACACCGGUGGCGAAGGCGGCAUCCUGGACCGGCAUUGACGCUGAGGCGCGAAAGCUAGGGGAGCAAACGGG
rnacentral:rRNA from 1 species